GCCCCCAUAGCUCAGUGGAUAGAGCGCUGCCCUCCGGAGGCAGAAGCGUAGGUUCGAGUCCUACUGGGGGUACAA
rnacentral:tRNA from 2 species